GAUGGAGACCAAUUCAUAUGGGGGACUUAUUUAGCACCCACUAUGCUGUUGUUUCCUCCAUUCCUAUUUCUGGAUUAGGUUCAUUCUCCCAACUGGGUACUCCAUUAGCUGUUCUGUCUGACCUGUAAAAUCAGUAUUUUCUGUUUUCCUUUUGUAGGUUUCUUGGCUGACAGUGCUUUGUCUUGCAGCUUAAACAAGAUGAAACAGAGCUCAUCUUCCAGUGGUGAGGCCUCCCUGUUUCCCCUUAGAGUUCAGGACACAAGCAGAACCAGCUUACAUAUACCUCAAGCAAUUUUCUAUCCUAAUGCAGCUUGAGAAAUCACGAGCAAAAAGUGAAUUAUCUAGAAAAUGCACAAUUAACGUGGUCCAGUCCUGCAUUCCUUUCCACUAUGAACUCCCCCAAGUCAGUCAAUCCAAGGCUAGCUAUAUAUGUACAAGGACUACAGGAUCUGUGCCAUCACAUGCUGUCUGAGAGUUGUUAGUCCUAAGUGUAUGUGUGUAUAUAAAGUCUUACUAAUUUUUAAAGAUACAGUUUACAUGUGUAUCAGUCUCUGUUAAAGGUGUUUAUUAAAGAUUUUUGCCAGCAGUUAGUGUACUGUGAUUUUGAUAUGUAACAUCUGUCUCACUUGUCAUGGAAGUUCACUGCAUAUCAGUCAUUAAAGGAUUUUGGCUUCUCCCCUGAGAGAUCCAAAGUGCUAAAAAAAAUAAAAAUGAUUUUUUCCUCCCUUAAAAUACUCAAGACGUCUCUCUAAGGCAGGCUUAGGCAAUAAGUGGGCCUCAGGCUGGAUACUGUUCACCAGAGUGAGCCCAUGACAGGCCACCCGACAUGUUACUUACCUGCAUGUCUGAAAGUACGGCUGCUCGCAGCCCCCUUUGGCUGCAGUUUGCCAUUCCUGGCCAAUGGACCUGCGGGCUGGACAGUUGCUUUCCACAGCUUUCAUUGGCCAGGAAUAGUGAAUGCCAGCCACUGUCAGCAGCCCUACCUGCAGAUGUGCACGUAAAUAAAGCAUCUGGGAGCUUGCGAGGGUCCUAGUGAACCACAUCCAGCUCACUUAUUGCUCACCCCCCUCUACAACAACAAAUACUUUUGUAAGUACUAAUUCUUCCAGCAGUUUGCCAGUUCAUCAAUUGCUGUCAAAUCAGUAUUAUUCACCUCACUAUUAAACAAAAGCACAAAGUCAUAGCUU